UCCUGAGAAAGUAAAUCUCAUUCAAGCUGAAGAAGCCUAGUUUGAAUAUUUUUAAAUAAAGGGAUACAAUUUCUUUAAAUUAAAGAAGGCAAAUUUAGUUCCUAACUCCUCACUGAGCUUUCUUCAUCUGCUCCAAGGAGGAAAGUAAAGGCCAAUUUCUCCUACCUUCCCAAAGACUUUCACUCCUCCCAGGAGCAGAAGGUCCCCAAAGCCCAAUUAGCCCCAGCCUGACCAGUCUUUUGGAAGCGAGCAGUUUAACUAAUCUCCCUCCAUACUGGCAAUGGCUCCCUUUCAGGGAAUAUAAUGCCAGAGAAACGUUUGUCUCUGCUCCUUGACUACAGCUACCGAACCCCUCCAGUCUUGGGCACAUAGGCUGGUUCUUUAACUCUCCAGGCCAACUUUGGGGUGUACAGAAAGCACCUGACCCACAAACACUGGUGAACUGAGCCCCAGACCCCUUCUGCAAAUCACACCAACCGAACCUCCAGGCAGCUGGCAUGCCCACCAGCACCCCAGCUUCUCUUAGGUCUGAGCUGUUUUUCCCCAUCCCUCCCCGGCAGACAUUGCUCUGGAAACAAUGGCAUGCCCUCCAGGUGGGACUCGCUGGGUCCGGUGUGGGGAACUCUGCCCCUGCAACCAAAUACUGAACAAAGUGGCUGGAAGCAUCAUCAAUAACAUGGCAGUGCGUCUGCACAUUUUCCUCAUUGAUUUUUCUCUUCCAUUUGCUCAGGCUGCUCAGGUCAGCCCUAACCCUCCAUCCUGCUCAGCAAAUGCUGGCCAAAUGGAGAGAGACUCCCCUUCUCUGCUACUGGCCCCCACCUUUGUCAUGAAGUCUGGCCCUUCUAGCUUCUCGCUGGUCACCUCUCCUAGCCACAGCUCCCAGCUACCUCUUUUGCCUGGGAGAAUCUUCCCUCUGCCUAGAGCCUAGCUCCUGGGACUUCAGCCCUGAGGGUUGCAGUGGGACAAAGCAACCCUAAUACUAGAGGCUACUAGGCCCAUCCUGUAGCCCCCAAAUGCCCUCUCCUUAACACCCCACAAUACUUUCCAGGGAAUUAAACUCAGAGUCUGAGGAGCGACUGGGAAUCUUUCAAAUGCUUUCAGUUCUAAAACAGAAACAAAGGAAGGCAGAGGGUGAGGGUCCUGUGCAUGAUCCAGUGUCUCCUCGCCUGACCUCUGUCUCUCACAGCCAUAACUCACCCUAGAUAUGAACAAUCAGAGGAAAUACCUUAAAAUAAAUUCCAUCCUCCUGGUGUGGCUGGGAGUCCCAUCGGCUAGCUUGCCCAGAACUGCUCCAUGAGAGCUGAAAGCGGCUGGAAGAGAGCUUGCUCCGGAGAAGGGGAAGGAGACGGAGGAGGAGGAGACAAAUUGAAUUCAGCAUGGCCAAUCACCACCCCCUCCAGGCUUCUCUGACCCACAGUCCAGCAAUCAAAAGGCAAGAGCCAAGCCCAGGAAUGACUCGAGAGUCACUGGAUCCGUCAGCAGACUUCUUUUAUGGCCUGCAAUUGUAUGGAGUUUGCUAACACCCACACCAUACACCACAGCCACUGAUGAAACCAAGGACCUAUAAUUACCUGACAAAAUGUUAAAGUCUCUGUUCCAAGUCCACUUGGUUUCGUUCAGAGGCAGUCUACUAGGAGAACCGAGUUCUGCUGCAGAGUUGUGGGUCAGGAUUUUGCUAAUUCUGGAGAGACCUAAUGCCCUAGCCAAACCCAUACUUAUGCAUUUCCUCAGUGCAUAGCUGAGUGAUACAUGAAAUUAUAUGUCUCUGAAGAUGAAAAAUGUAAGAGGAAAUGACCUAAUUGCCUCUGAAAUAGGGGGAAACUCUGAACACCACUGGAGUGUCAUGUGCUAACCUGCAAGUCAGCCUGAGACCCUCCCCUCAGACUGUUCUAUACACUCACCCCUAAGACAGACAACUCCACAUUUCCAGCUGAAACUGACCUGAUCUGGUUCUGCUUAGUAGAACCUGGCUAAAACAAAUAAACUGUCCUCCCAGUCUCUA